rnacentral:rRNA from 1 species
UACGGAGGGUGCAAGCGUUAAUCGGAAUUACUGGGCGUAAAGCGUGCGUAGGCGGCCUGUUAAGUCAGAUGUGAAAGCCACGGGCUCAACCUGGGAACGGCAUUUGAAACUGGCAGGCUAGAGCUAGGUAGAGGGGAGUGGAAUCUCAGGUGUAGCGGUGAAAUGCGUAGAUUUCUGAAGGAACGCCAGUGGCGAAGGCGGCUCCCUGGACCCAAACUGACGCUGAGGUACGAAAGCGUGGGUAGCAAACAGG